UUUGACGGUCAAAGCGGCAGGGAAACACCCGGUCUCAUUCCGAACCCGGAAGUUAAGCUUGCCUGCGUAAUUUUCAGUACUAUGGUGCGAGAGCCCAUGGGAGGAUUACCCUCUUUGAG
rnacentral:rRNA from 1 species